AUGGUCUUGGGAUAUCCUCAAGGGGAGGCCCAGCGGAUUGCCAACCGUUUGAACUGCCGCUUGGGGUCCUUCCCGAUGACCUAUCUUGGCAUGCCCCUUAGUGACGCACGGCUUCUGGAGAAGGACUUCUGUCCAAUAAUCGCCAAGCUCCAACCUAGAAUGGAACCUUGGCAAGGGAUAUGGUCGUCCAAAGCCGCUCGAGUGAUUCUGAUGAACUCCUCCCUUAUUAGCCUAUUGAUGUAUAUCAUGGGAUUCUAUAGUCUACAUGAAUCCCUCCAUCAUGAAGUUACCAAACUACUCUCCCGAUUCUUUUGGGCAGGCGAGAGCAAUAAAUAGAAGUAUCAUAUGGUCAAAUGGUCCGAGAUCUGUAAACCGAAGGACCAGGGCGGCUUGGGGGUUAUUUCCUUCAAGCGAAUGAAUAUUGCCCUCCUGCCCAAAUGGCUUUGGUGGAUCCAGACUGAGGAGGGUGGCCUGUGGCUUCAGAUUAUCCGUGGGAAGUACCUUCGCGGGCAACCGCUAGCAUUUGCAUCUAGGUCUGGAGGUUCCCAAUUCUGUCAAUCGGUGAUCCCUUUGUUACCAGUCCUGCGCAUUGGGACUUCCAUCCAGAUAGGCUCUGGUGCUGCCACCCUAUUUUGGCUGGAUAGAUGGGCGGGUACCCGCCCCUUUGCAUAUCUUUUUUGGCGUUAUUCUCUAUCUGUGUACGCCCAUAGAUCUCCGUGGCUGCGACCCUAG
rnacentral:rRNA from 1 species